rnacentral:rRNA from 1 species
CAGUAGCCACGGGAAUACGAAGGGGGCUAGCGUUGCUCGGAAUUACUGGGCGUAAAGGGAGCGUAGGCGGACAUUUAAGUCAGGGGUGAAAUCCCAGAGCUCAACUCUGGAACUGCCUUUGAUACUGGGUGUCUUGAGUGUGAUAGAGGUAUGUGGAACUCCGAGUGUAGAGGUGAAAUUCGUAGAUAUUCGGAAGAACACCAGUGGCGAAGGCGACAUACUGGAUCAUUACUGACGCUGAGGCUCGAAAGCGUGGGGAGCAAACAGGAUUAGAGACCCCCGUAGUCCCUGUCUCUUAUAC